rnacentral:snoRNA from 1 species
AUCCCAUUGUGAGGAUUGGCGGCGACGUACUCCUGCAGACGCUCCCAAGCUUCUAUUAUGGAUUCAUCCUUUGUUUGCUGGAAGUUAGAAAUGCUCGCUCGAAGGGC